UCCCAUCAGAACUCCGCAGUUAAGCGUGCUUGGGCGAGAGUACUACUAGGAUGGGUGACCUCCUGGGAAGUCCUUGUGAUGCACCCC
rnacentral:rRNA from 1 species